UGAAGCUGAGACUGUUGGCCCCUUGCUUUCAAUGCCAAUAAGAAAAGAAAAUUCAGAGAGAUACAGUUCAGAACAAACAAUUAUAGAUAGCAUCAACACCUCUUAUCAGGACCGGUUUUUCGGGAUAUUAAUUUCCCAAAAGCGGCCCUUGUGCUCACCAGCCCCAGGAUUACUGUUAGCUGAUGAGACACGAACUUGUUAUAGGAACUCCAAGAAAACUACAAAAUAUGUAGUACAAGACCAUUCUGGCCUAUGGCUACAACAAUUGGUUUCUAGUGGUUGAUGGCGGAAGCGGUUUGCGAAUCAUCAACGUUUAUGGGACUCCAUUUCCCACAGGAACAGCUGACCAGGAUAACUCCUAUCUUCGCGAGGCUGCUAUCUCCAUUGCGUAGGUUCCGGGGCUUUCAUCGCAACGUUCCUUUCCACGCAAGAAAUCUGGCCAAGACAAUAGCCAGGGACAAGCCAGUGAGUACUUUGAAUGUACUCGCAAACAUUAAGAACACAGGUAUAAUAUAGCCACUGAUAAUCAUGCUUUCAAAUAUUCCAUGAUUACUUCAGCAGUCAUAAAUGAAGCUCAUGAUGCAUGCAAGUAGGUUAAUCAUGUCAUAUAUGAAUAUGCAAUCAGCGAGUAGAAAUAGAAUGCACCGAUCGAGUGUCUGAAGCGACACCACAUAAAGGAUAACAAUAUAAAGUAUGCCUCAGUCGGGCGUCUAAGUGACACCACAUAAAGGGCUUAUAAGUAGAUAAAAUAUCAAGCAUACCCCAGUCGGGCGUCUGUGCGACGCCGCAUAAAGGGCUUAUAAGUAAAUAAAAUAACAAGCAUGCCACAGUCGGGCAUCUGUGCGACUCCACAUAAAGGGCUUAUAAGUAAAUGAAAUGACAAGCAUGCCACAGUCGGGCGUCUAUGCGACACCACAUAAAGGGCUUAUACAUACACAUAAUCACGGUGAAUAUCCAGGAGGUAGUACCGUCCUAGAAAUACUCAAUAAUUCAAAUAACAUAAAUGGUUAGUCCAUAAUAAUAAUAAUCAUAAUCAUCAUACAUCACAAGUCAUGAUCAAUAUUCUGGUUUAAUAGUUUCUCCUCCGAAGACCGACACUAAGACCGACACUUGACCCAUCCCAGACUGUAGUCCUUAACCAUGGACACGGUUAUUCGAAUAGGUUUAAUAUCUCUGUAGAGGGUGUACUCUUUACCCACGAGUAACGGAUUCCUUUAGUCCAUCGGGACUAAUUCCGUCUACGGUCUUUUAAUUGGAAACACCCUAACCGCACACACCAGCCAAACUCACCGGUGUCUGGAAUCACCCUUGACACCUAUUAAGCAAAACUCUAAGUGGGGAGGCUACAACCUCGACUAGCAUGGGAUCACAAAAUUUAUACCGCGCGCAAACUGGGGGAGCUACCCCCUUCGGCUACAACCGAAAACACCCAUGCCCCUGGACUGGAUGACUGGCUUUAAUCCAGGGCCAUGGAACCCUCAUCGCGGUCUCUCUGUACGUUGUGUGCUAGAUAGGGGUUGACAACUUACUGAACCGUACCCUACCUACGGCAGGGACAAGUGGCAGCACGAAACAAGUAUGGGGGUUACUGGAACAAGACUCGAUCUACGGCCGACUCAGGAGGCUUAAGUAUUUCCUGCAUGAUUAGCUCAAGGAUAAUAUCUCACAUCCAUCAGACACAACCACCACUCAUCAUACCUCCCCCUGCCCCGCCGGUCAUAACCGUCUCGACGAGGGACAAGCUCGUGUCUACCCAAGAAAGAGACUUUCCCGGAUCUUUCCCGGUAGGCAUGAGAGGCAUAUGAGGGUGAUUGCUAUCACAAGUAUGUCCAUUGCCAACAGCAAAAAAUUUCAUCUUUGCACUCAAAGCGUAUGAUCAUAUCGUCACGAACACAUAACGGAUACUAUGUGUCACGGUGGUGUUGUAACUGUAUUAAACAACACAGGAUAAUAUUAUGCCUGAGUUCAGAAGUGCUUGCCUUCAAGGUGUGGCGAGUCAGGGUGCAUUCCAAAACUUUGAAAGUUUUCUUCUCUCUCCCACAAAUCCUAUUCUAUUUUUGGAAAUAUUUAAAUUAACACAUAGUUUAAAAACAGUACACAAAAGUUGCUCAGAAAUUUUUGAAAUAAAUAUGAAAAUAAACUAGACAAUAUUUGAGGAACAACAGAAAAAGAUUCAAGUCAUUUGGAUUCAUAUUUUAAAAGUUAUAGCCAGUCAAAGUUUUGGUCAAAUUCUAUUUUUAAAAUAAAACAGAAAAAAGAAAAACGCUUUGAUUAGAAUACGCUUUCGAGCAGAGGAGACUUACUCUGGGGUGAUGCGCUUUCACUUAAACACGUGGACCGGUGCGGGAUCACUGACAGUGAGUCCACGGGGCCCACUGGUCAGGUUUGACCGGUCUCCUUUCCCUCUUCUUCCUCUGCCUGAGAGGGGGGCGGGACUCCGGCGAUCAUCGCCGGUGAUUGGCGUCUCCUCACGGGGCCCCGAGGGCGGGGAUGGAUCCGCCACCCAGGGAGGUCCUCCCGGUGGUCGCCAGGCCGGAGGGGACGGAGGGAGCUGCCGGCGGCGAGCUCCUCGGCGGAGGUGGCCUCGGGAGCUUUUGAGGGCCGGGGCUAUGGUGGUUCCCGAGCUGGAUUGAGGUGUUGGGCAGCUCCACAGGAUUACGGGGAUUCGAAUGGUGGCGCUAGUUUGACGGGAGGGGCUCGGGUUGUGACCGAAUGGGCUAGAGGGCGUCGGCGGCUGGUCCUGCCGGAGCUGGGGAAGAUGACCUCUUCUCUUUGAUUGUUGGCUACGGGGGAACUAGGGGAGUGGACUGAGGUCGCAUGGGUGCCCAGAUGAGCUCGGGGUCUCUCUUUAUAGUGCAACGAGGUCGGUUCCGCGGCGGCAGUGGAUAAGGUCGCCGGCGAACCGCCUCUCUAUUGCUGCAGGGGGUCGUGGCGGCGACAAGCGCUAGGGGACAUGCUUGUGGAUGAGCUCGCGCUGCUCCAGGGGGCAAGUGGCGAGCCGGGGUGGCUCGCGCGGCGCCGACCGGGGCAGGAGCCACUGUGGCCGGCCGCUUGCCGCCGUGGCCGACCUGACGGUGGCCCUGUAGGGCGCCAGGGGAGGGCUUGGCUAGUUCCUGCGAGCGGAUGAGGUCGGGGGUGCGGCUCUGCAGGAGAGCAAGGGCCAGGGCGCGACACGGCGACCCGAGCGCACGCACGUGCAAAACGUGCGCUCUGGGCGCGCCCAGAACACGCUCGCUACGUGCUUGACAAAAUGCCAGGGUAUCCUAGAGUGCUCCAAUCCACAAGAGAGUUAGUAGGGUGGGGCUAUAGGCUUGGGCAAAUCCAUGUGGCAUACUGGUCUAGUCAUUGGAUCAAGUUCAUAACACAAACCAGAAACUAAGCCAAAACUGGUCAUGCACUCAGGGUGUUUGACAAAAUGCCAAUGGCAUCUAGGCAACUAUUGGGGUGGCCAAAUUCUCCAGCUCACUGUCUCCUUGGAUGAGUAAGAGGGUGGUGAGGUUAGUUUGACAAAAUCAGAAACUUGUUAGUGCAAGUUUUGCAAAACAUCAGUUUUGGACAGAAAGAAAAAGGCAUGGUUGCAUGUACUAAAAAUUCUCCAAUGGGUCCACUCUUCUGGACUUAAGGGUUUUGUAGCAUGGGCUAUAAGCAGGAGAAAGCUCAAGAGUACUAGAGCAAAUUUAACUAGGGUUGCAGUAGAAAAAGCCAAACUGGACCAGAAAGCAAAAGAGGUUGAUUCACUCAAAUUUUUCAAAGAACAUAAAAGGGUUUCUGCAUAAAGUAUAAUAAUAUACUUCCAUUAACAUCCCAAAAUUUUGGUGGAGGCUUUAAAGAAAUAUUUAAUUAGGUUGCAGUGUAAAAAUGCUCACUGGACCAGAUUUUAAAACUUGGUGUAGAGCUCAAAAUAUUAAGUGAAUGAAUUAUAUUUUUCCGUAGAAGUGAUUCAAAAACAUCACAUGACAUCUCCAAAUUUUGGUUGGAAUUUUAGAUAAAUAUAUCAAGAGGUUGCAGUGCAAAUUGGGCCCUGAAACUAUUAAAAAAAUCAUUUCAAGGAAUAAAUCUCAGGGAGAAUUAGUUAUGCGAUUAAAUCCACUUUUAAGAGAAAUGUUUUUCUCGUGGGAGAAAACAAGUCUAGUAAUAUAUUUGGAAACUUUCACUUGGGAUAAAACUCCAUAAAAAUCCAGGAAAGGAUGGUACUAAAAUCAAAGAAAACCCAGAAAAAUGAAAAGUUUAAUUUUCCUGGCAAAAUUUUAUUAGUAAAACAAGGUUAAAAUUUUGGGGUGUCACAACACUACCCCCUUAAGAAAAAUCUCGUCCUCAAGAUUUGUUAAAAGUAGUUUUAAGAAAAUAUAUGCAAUAAAAUGUGGCUACAGUGAGAGGGCAAUAAGUGGUGUAAAAUCUCAGUGUGGAACACUGGCGCUGCGUGGAAAAAUCUACGGUUAGGGGGAAAACGAGAGAUUUCUAUGUUGGAUACAGUAAAUUUAGAAUAAAAUUCUAAAUUUAAAAUACGGUGGUCGUACCCGAGAGCACAGUGCUCUCUCCGGCUGACAGGUGGACCCGGGGCCCACUGUCAGCCUCUUCGUCUUCCUCUGGCUCUCUCUUCUUCCUCUCUCCCGCCCGCUUUCCCACGCUUUCUCCAUCGGUGACGUCUAGCGCAUAGGGCAUCUAGGUCGUACCCGCGGUAGUGCGCGGCGUGCUAGCUGCCGGUGCAGCGUGCACUCACCUCGCGGGCCAGCGUGCUGUCGGCACUGCUCGCGGAUUCGCCUCCGAACACCGGCGAUCGGGCGAUGAGCGGCGCCGGUGGACUUCGCCCACCGUACACCGAGCUCGAGCUAUAAAACGGCCGAGGUGUUCCUCUCUUCUUCCUCACAUCUGGCCUCGCUUCUCCUUCUCCUUCUUCCUCCUCCAUUUCCGUUUACAGAAGCUCAGCUGAGGCUCUAAUGGUGGAGGCGAUGCCGGACUGGUACGUGAUCCUGGUGUGUGGAGGGCUGGCGGCACUGCUGGGGCUCUUCGUGCUCCUGUGUGCGAUGAUCCUCGAUGAUCCUCGUGAUGCUGCUGCUCGAGUGCUGGCUCUCCGUGGUGGCGGUGAUCACGAGGAGUAGGUGUGGUGUUGGGUGCUAACUAUUGUCGGUAUACUGGGUAACUUGUACCCGGAUGAUUACCCACUAAUCUCCCCUUCAGAGACUAUGGUGUACUAGGGAGAUGAUUAGCCAGAUGCAGCACGGUUACAUGGUGUUGCAGGUAGUGUAUGCGUCCGAGUGGUUGUGGCUGUGGGCCUUCUGCCGUGGUGCUGCGUGAAUAAAGAUCCAUGUCGUGAGGAGAUAUAUGCCGUAGCAACUCAGGGAAAAGAAAUCUCACUCCAGGAUUUUUCGCGAGAGAAAAUUAGUUAAUCAAAAUUUAUAGCAGCAAAAGUUACUCAACAAUUGAAACCAAAAAAAAUUAUCUCACCACACAAGAUUUAGUGAAACACGCAUGAGUUACAACACUUAACUUAAUGCAGGGAAAAAAGAACAUAGCGGUGACGUCUAGAAUGAAAACGGCAACUCGACGGGGUCCCGAGAAAAUGUCUCUGGUAUUGGGGCACACUCUUCUUCUAUCGAGGGAAGUGGGUUGAUCAGUCGAUGAACGCGUCUCUCCUGGCCGGGCCUUAGUGGUCUGCCGAUGGCGAUCUGAGGAUUUAAAUCAGCGAGGCUCUGGAGAUAACUCAUCACUCGCUGGGUCAAACGCUCUUGAGCGAUGACAUACCGGACAAGGUUGGCUAGUACGGGGUCUCUCUCAAUUCUUCCACCGGGGAAGGAUGCUACUUCUCCGGGUGCUGCACGGCUCGGAAAGUAAUAAUACCCUCGUUCGCUGGCAUAGGGUACCGUGAAUCGAAGGCGAACAAUCGCUUCGUGUGCAGCCGCUUCUAUGGCCAUCUGAGGAGUUGGCAUAGAUUUCCCCAGGAAGGAGACUUCCAUUGGGUCUUGAUUUGAGUCUACGGGAGGGAUGUGCACUACUGCCCAAUAUUUCGAGGCGGAUGAGGUGAUCCUCGACUUGAGUAGCUCGUACUGGGGUGGCUGGGUAGAACCCAUGGUACUGCAGGUAAAGUCCCACAAUAUUCUAACAAAACUACUCGGGGUUGCAUCUGGGGUUCUCAGAUAAAUUCUAGGGCUCGGCAUGGCAAGAAAUGGUUGUGAGGGUUGCGCACAAGAUGAGGGGUACUCGGCAAGAUCACAAGGUGGUUAUUUAUAUAGCCUCCAGGCUGGGUUAUUUACUGCGGUGAAGGGCAACUAGUUUUCUGGUUCUACUAUCAUGGGGGUCGGGGUCAAAGCCACAGAUACACACAUCUCACAAAAGUGACGUGUUACUGUGGGUGCCGUCGGGGUUGGUUUUGGUAGCUACGCCCGGAAUUAAAAAUGUAACCGUAUAUCAAUACAACUACUAUUUAAAUUAGGGGCGCACAGGCAGGCAACGUUGUGGCGAUACAAGGUCACACAAUUUACAGGGCGUGGGGUAUGCUAAGACUUGGUACUACUCGAGUGGCUUAGUCCACCUCGUUUAUAUCUAAGCGGGCGUGCCUUUUGGAUGUCGAGGCUUCUCCAUUGGCCUCACCGUCGGGAUUGGCUGGAAGGGGUUGAGGGACUGCAGGGUCGGGGUAGCGAUGAUGACCAUCGCGGGGAUAGUUGGCCACAAUCCCGUUGGAGUGUGUUCCCAAAAGGCGACGAAGCACUUCUGGGGUCAUCAAAGCACCUUGGUUGAUGGCUGGGGCUAACCUCAAGGUCUCGAUCGGUUGUCCAAACAGCACGACUGGAUUGUCGGCGUCGGGCUCAUCUUCUCUUCUUGUUGGGGCUCUGCGGAUCAGUUCUCCAUGAGCUGCGAUCAUAUCAAGGGUGAUUUGAUCGAACAACCCCUCUAGUGCACUUACAUAGCGCACCAGAUGCAACAAUGCAUGGUCCAACUCGUGGUCUCCGUUGGCAACUUGGGGUGGCCUACCAUACCCGUCAGGGCUGGGGUAGUAGUAGAAUGAGCGACAGUUAACUCUGGGCGACAAGUGCCGGAGUUGAACUAUAGCUUCUCGAGAAGCUAGUUGGAUGGCUUGUGGCUCAAAGGAAGUUGUCCUUCCGGUGAACCUGUAGGGGUGUUCUGGCGAUAGAUCCCUACCAUAGAUGUGCACAGUGGCCCAAAAUUGACGGCUCUCACCGCUCAUGGACCCUUGGUACACAACAUAUUCUGGGGGCUCUUCUAAUGCGAAGGCACCGCGGGUGAGGUUUGCUAGCACGGUCACGAAACCUCCAAGGUUGGUUGUUGUGGUCUCAUUGUGAACAAUGGGACCAGGCAUUAUGGCUUGGUGUAGGGUAGAGGCUGUGCUGUGCUGGGUUGAGGCUAGCGUGCCCUUUUAUAGAAAAAGGGAAUGGAGUCUUCCUUCGCACGCUUGCGAGAAAGACUAUUUAUGGGCCGGUCACUGGCGCGUGAUCGACAGGCUAGGCGGGUAGGUUGGGCAUCGACUGCCAAAAAGGUGUCGGGCUCAUUGUGUGGCUAUCUUACACGAGAAGCCUGGUCGGGGUGUGGUUAAGGUCUGGUGGGUUGGUUUACCUAGGUUUUUCGAUCUGGCUAAGAUAGGAUUAGUCAAUGGUCAGCCUGGCUCUGAUACCAAGAUUGUCAGGACCGGUUUUUCGGGAUAUUAGUUUCCCAAAAGCGGCCCUUGUGCUCACCAGCCCCAGGAUUACUGUUAGCUGAUGAGACACCAACUUGUUAUAGAAACUCCAAGCAAACUAGAAAAUAUGUAGUACAAGACCAUUCUGGCCUAUGGGUACAACAAUUGGUUUCUAGUGGUUGAUGGCGGAAGCGGUUUGCGAAUUAUCAGCGUUUAUGGGACUCCAUUUCCCACAGGAAUAGCUGACCAGGAUAACUCCUAUCUUCGCGAGGCUGCUAUCUCCAUUGCGUAGGUUUCGGGGCUGUCAUCGCAACGUUCCUUUCCACGCAAGAAAUCUGGCCAAGACAAUAGCUAGGGACAAGCCAGUGAGUACUUUGAAUGUACUCGCAAACAUUAAGAACACAGGUAUAAUAUAGCCACUGAUAAUCAUGCUUUGAAAUAUUCCAUGAUUACUUCAUCAGUCAUAAAUGAAGCUCAUGAUGCAUGCAAGUAGGUUAAUCAUGUCAUAUAUGAAUAUGCAAUCAGCGAGUAGAAAUAGAAUGCACCGAUCGGGUGUCUGAAGCAACGCCUCGAAAGGAUAACAGUAUAAAGUAUGCCUCAGUCGGGCGUCUAAGCGACACCACAUAAAGGGCUUAUAAGUAGAUAAAAUAUCAAGCAUGCCACAGUCGGGCGUCUGUGCGACACCGCAUAAAGGGCUUAUAAGUAAAUAAAAUAACAAGCAUGCCACAGUCGGGCGUCUGUGCGACACCACAUAAAGGGCUUAUAAGUAAAUGAAAUGACAAGCAUGCCACAGUCGGGCGUCUAUGCGACACCACAUAAAGGGCUUCUAUAUACAGAUAAUCACGGUGAAUAUCCAGGAGGUAGUACCGUCCCAGAGAUACUCAAUAAUUCAAAUAACAUAAAUGGUUAGUCCAUAAUAAUAAUAAUCAUAAUCAUCAUACAUCACAAGUCAUGAUCAAUAUUCUGGUUUAAUAGUUUCUCCUCCGAAGACCGACACUAAGACAGACACUUGACCCAUCCCAGACUGUAGUCCUUAACCAUGGACACGGCUAUUCAAAUAGGUUUAAUAUCUCUGCAGAGGGUGUACUCUUUACCCACGAGUAACGGAUUCCUUUAGUCCAUCGGGACUAAUUCCGUCUACGGUCUUUUAAUUGAAAACACCCUAACCACACACACCAUCCAAACUCACCGGUGUCUGGAAUCACCCUUGACACAUGUUAAGCAAAACUCUAAGUGGGGAGGCUACAACCUCGACUAGCAUGGGAUCACAAAAUUUAUACCGCACGCAAACUGGGGGAGCUACCUCCUUCGGCUACAACCGAAAACACCCAUGCCCCCGGACCAGAUGACUGGCUUUAAUCCAGGGCCAUGGAACCCUCAUCGCGGUCUCUCUGUAUGGUGUGUGCUAGACAGGGGUUGACAACUUACUGAACCGUACCCUACCUACGGCAGGGACAAGUGGCAGCACGAAACAAGUAUGGGGGUUACUGGAACAAGACUCGAUCUACGGCCGACUCAGGAGGCUUAAGUAUUUCCUGCAUGAUUAGCUCACGGAUAAUAUCUCACAUCCAUCAGACACAACCACCACUCAUCAUACCUCCCCCUGCCCCCUGGUCAUAACCGUCUCGACGAGGGACAAGCUCGUGUCUACCCAAGACAGAGACUUUCCCGGAUCUUUCCCGGUAGGCAUGAGAGGCAUAUGAGGGUGAUUGCUAUCACAAGUAUGUCCAUUGCCAACAGCACAAAUUUUCAUCUUUGCACUCAAAGCGUAUGAUCAUAUCGUCACAAACACAUAACGGAUACUACGUGUCACGGUGGUGUUGUAACUGUAUUAAACAACACACGAUAAUACUAUGCCUGAGUUCAGAAAUGCUUGCCUUCAAGGUGUGGAGAGUCAGGGUGCAUUCCAAAACUUUGAAAGUUUUCUUCUCUCUCCCACAAAUCCUAUUCUAUUUUUGGAAAUAUUUAAAUUAACACAUAGUUUAAAAACAGUACACAAAAGUUGCUUGGAAAAUUUUGAAAUAAAUAUGAAAAUAAACUAGACAAUAUUUGAGGAACAACAGAAAAAGAUUCAAGUCAUUUGGAUUCAUAUUUUAAAAGAUAUAGCCAGUCAAAGUUUUGGUCAAAUUUUGUUUUUAAAAAUAAAACAGAAAAAAGAAAAACGCUUCGAUUAGAAUACGCUUUCGAGCAGAGGAGACGUACUCUGGGGUGAUGCGCUUUCACUUAAACACGUGGACCGGUGUGAGGUCACUGACAGUGCGUCCACGGGGCCCACUGGUCAGGUUUGACCGGUCUCCUUUCCCUCUUCUUCCUCUGCCCGAGAGGGGGGCGGGACUCCGGCGAUCGUCGCCGGCGAUUGGCAUCUCCUCGCAGGGCCCCGAGAGCGGGGAUGGAUCCGCCACCCCAGGAAGGUCCUCCUGGUGGUCGCCAGGCCGGAGGGGAAGGAGGGAGCUGCCGGCGGCGAGCUCCUGGGCGGAGGUGGCCUCGGGAGCUUUUGAGGGCCGGGGCUAUGGUGGUUCCCGAGCUGGAUUGAGGUGUUGGGAAGCACGUGAUCACGGGGAUUUGAAUGGUGGCGCUAGUUUGACGGGAGGGGCUUGGGUUGUGACCGAAUGGACUGGAGGGCGUCGGCGGCUGGUCCUGCCGGAGCUGGGGAAGAUGACCUCUUCUCUUCGAUUGUUGGCUAUGGGGGAACUAGGGGAGUGGACUGAGGUCGCAUGGGUGCUCAGAUGAGCUCGAGGUCUCCCUUUAUAGUGCAACGAGGUCGGUUCCGCGGCGGCAGUGGAUAAGGUCGCCGGCGAACCGCCUCUCUAUUGCUGCAGGGGGUCGUGGCUGCGACAAGCGCUAGGGGACACACUUGUGGAUGAGCUCGCGCUGCUCCAGGGGGCAGGUGGCGAGCCGGGGUGGCUCGGGCGGCGCCGACCGGGGCAGGAGCCACUAUGGCCGGCCGCUUGCCGCCGUGGCCGACCUGACGGCGGCCCUGUAGGGCGCCAGGGGAGGGCUUGGCUGGUUCCUGCGAGCGGAUGAGGUCGGGGGUGCGGCUCUGCAGGAGAGCAAGGGCCGGGGCGCGACGCGGCAACCCAAGCGCACGCACGUGCAAAACGCGCGCUCUGGGCGCGCCCAGAGCACGCUCGCUACGUGCUCGACAAAAUGUCAGGGUAUCGUAGAGUGCUCCAAUCCACAAGAGAGUUAGCAGGGUGGAGCUAUAGGCUUGGGCAAAUCCAUGUGACAUGCUGGUCUAGUCAGGGGAUCAAGUUCAUAACACAAACCAGAAACUAAGCCAAAACUGGUCAUGCACUCAGGGUGUUUGACAAAAUGCCAAUGGCAUCUAGGCAACUCUUGGGGUGGCCAAAUUCUCCAGCUCACUGUCUCCUUGGAUGAGUAAGAGGGUGGUGAGGUUAGUCUGACAAAAUCAGAAACUUGUUAGUGCAAGUUUUGCAAAACAUCAGUUUUGGACAGAAAGAAAAAGGCAUGGUUGCAUGUACUAAAAAUUCUCCAAUGGGUCCACUCUUCUGGACUUAAGGGUUUUGUAGCAUGGGCUAUAAGCAGGAGAAAGCUCAAGAGUACUAGAGGAAAUUUAACUAAGGUUGCAGUAGAAAAAGCCAAACUGGACCAGAAAGCAAAAGAGGUUGAUUCACUCAAAUUUUUCAAAGAACAUAAAAGGGUUUCUGCAUAAAGUAUAAUAAUAAUAUACUUCCAUUAACAUCCCAAAAUUUUGGUGGAGGCUUUAAAGAAAUAUUUAAUUAGGUUGCAGUGUAAAAGUGCUCACUGGACCAGAUUUUAAAACUUGGUGUAGAGCUCAAAAUAUUAAGUGAAUGAAUUAUAUUUUUCCAUAAAAGUGAUUCAAAAACAUCACAUGACAUCUCCAAAUUUUGGUUGGAAUUUUAGAUAAAUAUAUCAAGAGGUUGCAGUGCAAAUUGGGCCCUGAAACUGUUAAAAAAAUCAUUUCAAGGAAUAAAUCUCAGGGAGAAUUAGUUAUGCGAUUAAAUCCACUUUUAAGAGAAAUGUUUUUCUCGAGGGAGAAAACAAGUCCAGUAAUAUAUUUGGAAACUUUCGCUUGGGAUAAAACUCCAUAAAAAUCCAAGAAAGGAUGGUAUUGAAAUCAAAGAAAACCCAGAAAAAUGAAAAGUUUAAUUUUGCUGGCAAAAUUUUAAUUAGUAAAACAAGGUUAAAAUUUUGGGGUGUCACACCUCUAGAUGGAAGUUCAAAGACAAAUGCCCCUGCCGUUCUCACUCUCUGUCUGCAACAGUAAUGCACACAUUAGGACAGCCGGAAGGGAGAAAUCUUGUCGCUGCCAUAACCUACA
rnacentral:lncRNA from 1 species